UGCCAGCAGUCGCGGUUAGACCGAGAAAUUAAGUUAUAUUAAAAUGGUAAAAAGACAGUUGGACAUAAAAUUUAAAGUUUAUUGAUUCUUUUGUAAAAAAGUAAAAUUUGCAUACAUAAGUAUAAUUUUUUAAAAACUAUAAGGUUGAAUCUGUGAAAUCCCAGAGGGAAACUGGGAUUAGAUACCCCAUUAUUCUUGGAUAUAAACUAAACUUAAAUUUACCAGAGUACUAUGAAUAUAUUAAAAUUUAAAACUCAAAGGACUUGGCGGUGUUUUAGACCACUUAGGGGAACCUGUCUCAUAAUCGAUAAUCCACGUUAUACCUAACCUUUUUUUGCUUUCAGCUUGUAUAUCGUUGUCGUCAGGUAACUUUUUAGAAACUAGAAGUUAGCUAAAAAUAGUAAGUUUAAACGUCAAAUCAAGAUGCAGUUAAUAAAAUGGUGAGGAUGGGUUACAAUUAUUUAAAUUAUAAUUACGGAAAAUCAUAGGAAUUGAUGAUUAAUAAAGGAGGACUUAAAAGUAAAUUAAAUUAUAUAAAUAACUUGAAUAAGGCUCUGAAAUGUGCACACAUCGCCCGUCGCUCU
rnacentral:rRNA from 1 species